UGUUGGUUCUCCCGCAACGCUACUCUGUUUACCAGGUCAGGUCCGGAAGGAAGCAGCCAAGGCAGAUGACGCGUGUGCCGGGGUGUAGCUGGCAGGG
rnacentral:SRP_RNA from 3 species